GUUCAAAGCCGACGGUUUGUGUAUCCCCUGCUGCACUAGACCCGACCAGCCUGUGGAAAUGGCUUAUUGAUCACGAUGUAGUUCCAAGCAAGAUGAUGUGCAGAAAAUGCCAGCAACCAGCGAAGUUUUUAUUUUAUGACUUUUCAUUUAGAUGUUGGAGGCCGCGCAUUGUGCGGAAGGGUAGUCGUAUGGUAAAAGUUCAGUGUACGUUUCACCAGAGCGCACGAAAAGGUUCUUGGCUUGGGAAUUCACUGUCAAGUGUGAUCGACAUUGCUCACUUUUGUUCCCUUUGGCUCUGUGCUUCGUAUCCUAAGACGGUAAAGCUCAAGAGGAUAACUGGUUUCACUUCACUGACGGUAGCGAACUGGACCUCAGCAUGCCGCGAAACCUGCUUCGAAUCCUGCGCGACGUUUGGGUGGUCCAGGCACCGUUGUUGAGGUAGCAGAAGCGAAAUUCGGCGAAAAAAGAUAUUCUCUUGGUAGGAAAAAAGACGUGUGCUGGGUUAUUGGCGGUAUACAGCGCGGAUCGCCCAAAAUAUUCCUUGUUCACGUCGAUAAACAAGGAAAAGAAACUUUGCGGCGCGUUUUAUCAGAAAAUGUUCUCCCUGGAACUAGCGUUAUAAACAACUGCAGUAAUGUAUACGGCACUCCGAGUGAGCAGGAUUCGGAACAGAGCGAUGAAAAUCAUGGGCUGCAAUUUGUAUUAUCUAAUAAUAGCGAUGCUGAUACACGAACUGCGCAAAGAAUAUUGAGACGUCUUCGAAAAUUUGUACCGAAAGGUCGCAAGCGAGAACAGUUUCAGGGGUAUCUGGCAGAGUGCGUUUUGAGACAAGCAUAUCGGCCCAGGGAAAGAUUACAUCACUUACUUGUCGAGGCAAGCAAAGUUGGCUCAUCACGAGGGUCAAUGAUAGCUUAGUAUCAUGUGGCAAAGGCAGUUGUAAAUGCCGCAACAGGGUGAAACCUACUGCCAACGAUUCCAUUCUGUACAGCAUUCUCCAAUGUGUCAAGACCUGCAGCAGGGAAGGUGACCUCCAGCAGAUGGGAUCCUGUGGCACAUUUGGUCAGAAUGUUUGAGCAGGACAAGGAGCAGCUGUUUUCCAUGCCCCUCAUCAAUGAAGACAGCCAGCCUGUCCCAGACUCACAGAAGCUGCAGCAGGGAAGGCGAUCUCCAGCACAUGGGAUUCUGUAGCGCAUCUGGUCAGCAUGCUCGAGUAGGACAAGGACCAGCUCUUAUCCAUGCCACUCAUCAAUGAAGGCAGCCAGCCUGUCGCAGACACAGAAGUGCACUGUGGAGUUUACAUCACAUGGUGCAGGUCAGUACUGCCCUCCAACAUACAAGUCAUCCAGAAAAUUUGUGUUAUACUAAGGAGAAGUGUUGAUUUGGUGGAUCAGAAGCUGCAGCAGGGAAGGUGACCUCCCUCACAUGGAAUUUUGUAGUGCGUCUGGUCAGCAUGUUCAAGCAGGACAAGGAGCAGCUAUUAUCCAUGCCACUCAUCAGUGAAGACUGCCAGCCUGUCCCAGACUCACGGAAGUGCACUGUGGAUCUUUCAACAAAUGAUGCAGGUCAGUACUGGACUCCAACAUACAAGUCAUCCAGAAAAUUCUUAUUGUACCUAUAUAAGUGUUGAUUUGAUGGAUCAGAAGAUGCCAAUUCCUCCCAGCACUCUACUGAUUUUAACUUCAAACUUACAUAACAGUUUUCAAAGCUCUUAAAUGUUGGUAUAGAAGUGUCGGUGGACAGUGACUGGCAUGUUGUGUUAGACAUUUGAAAAUGCACGUUAGUGUGUUGACAGAAUUUGAAUGGGAUGAACUGUGUGGUACAAUACACUAGAUCCAUCAGCAGAUGACUUCGGAGUAUUGUCCAUCUUGUCCAUCCCUGGACAUAUAUGAUGCUGACCCGAUGCUGUGUCUCACAUAAUUGUGUGACAAUGUGGUACUCAUCGUCAGAUUUGGAUGCCGAUCCAUUAUCUACAAUGCACUCCGGUUACAAACUUAUUCAGCCUAAGGAUGGUGCUAUCUCUUGUAUUGGAAAGACUGAGCAGACGGCUGCCUUGUGUGCAAACUGUGGAUAAAGACAUUGUGAACUAUCUCUAUAUGUAUAGUGUGCCUGCAGACAAUAUAGAACACUGAAUCAAUAUGGUGUCAGAAGAAGGAGCUAAGACCCAUGUUUGGGAGAAAUACACACUGAAUUAUGUAAAUAUAAGAAAGCUUUAAUUGCUAAGUUUUGUGUAGGUGUAAAGAUAAAGAAAGUACAAGUUGAUUUUUUUGUAUGUAGUGCACCCUAUGUAUGUUUGGUAAAUAAAAAUAUGUAUAUUAUCACAAA
rnacentral:lncRNA from 1 species